rnacentral:rRNA from 1 species
UACGGGGGGGGCAAGCGUUGUUCGGAAUUACUGGGCGUAAAGGGCUCGUAGGUGGCCAACUAAGUCGGACGUGAAAUCCCUCGGCUCAACCGUGGAACUGCUGGGCAUACCGCGGGUCUUGGGCCAACUAGGGGCAGCCGGAACAAGCGGUGGAGCGGUGAAAUGCGUAGAUAUCGCUUGGAACGCCGAAGGUGAAAACAGGCUGCUGGGGUUGCGCCGACGCUGAGACACGAAAGCCAGGGGAGCAAACGGG